rnacentral:rRNA from 1 species
AACGUAGGACACAAGCGUUAUCCGGAGUUACUGGGCGUAAAGGGCGUGUAGGCGGACCUAUAAGUCUAUUCUGAAAGCUCCUGGCUAAACUGGGAGAGGCGAAUGGAGACUGUAGGUCUAGAGUGAGGAAGAGGAAAGUGGAAUUCCGCGUGUAGUGGUGAAAUGCGUAGAGAUGCGGAGGAACACCAGUGGCGAAAGCGACUUUCUGGUCCUUAACUGACGCUGAGGCGCGAAAGCAUGGGGAGCGAACGGG